CAUCCUACGGGAGGCAGCAGUAGGGAAUAUUGCUCAAUGGGGGAAACCCUGAAGCAGCAACGCCGCGUGGAGGAUGAAGGUUUUAGGAUUGUAAACUCCUUUUGUUAGAGAAGAUUAUGACGGUAUCUAACGAAUAAGCACCGGCUCACUCCGUGCCAGCAGCCGCGGUAAUACGGAGGGUGCAAGCGUUACUCGGAAUCACUGGGCGUAAAGAUUUCGUAGGCGGGUUCAUAAGUCAGAUGU
rnacentral:rRNA from 1 species